rnacentral:rRNA from 1 species
GACGAACGCUGGCGGCGUGCCUAAUACAUGCAUGUCGAGCGCAGGAAAUCGACGGAACCCUUCGGGGGGAAGUCGACGGAAUGAGCGGCGGACGGGUGAGUAACACGUAAAGAACCUGCCCUCAGGUCUGGGAUAACCACGAGAAAUCGGGGCUAAUACCGGAUGGGUCAUCGGACCGCAUGGUCCGAGGAUGAAAGGCGCUUCGGCGUCGCCUGGGGAUGGCUUUGCGGUGCAUUAGCUAGUUGGUGGGGUAAUGGCCCACCAAGGCGACGAGGCAUAGCCGACCUGAGAGGGUGAUCGGCCACACUGGGACGGAGACACGGCCCAGACUCCUACGGGAGGCAGCAGUAGGGAAUCUUCCACAAUGGACGAAAGUCUGAUGGAGCAACGCCGCGUGAACGAUGAAGGCCUUCGGGUCGUAAAGUUCUGUUGUAAGGGAAGAACAAGUGCCGCAGGCAAUGGCGGCACCUUGACGGUACCUUGCGAGAAAGCCACGGCUAACUACGUGCCAGCCGCCGCCGUAA